GUGGUAAGUAUCACUAGAAUUUUCUGGGUUUUGUAUUUUUAUUCAAAGUAAACAUCCCAACAACUCUUAAUAGGAAUUCAACAAAUAAUUUUCUGGGUUUUGUUUUCAAUGCUUUUAACUUCCAAGGCUACGGUAACCAUGAGCAACUUCCAAAUGUACCGGCACAUCAUGAGCCCUGGAUGGACUCUGUCCUGGACAUGGGAUAAAAAGGAAGUUAUAUGGUCAAUGGUGGGAGCUCAAGCCACAGAACAAGGCGAUUGUUCCAAGUUCAAAGGAAACAUACCACAUUGUUGCAAGAAGACUCCAACAGUUGUUGACUUGCUUCCUGGAGUCCCUU
rnacentral:lncRNA from 1 species